rnacentral:tRNA from 7 species
GUGCCCGUAGUUCAACGGAUAGAACACCUGGUUGCGGUCCAGGCGGUUGGAGGUUCGAUUCCUCUCGGGCACGCCA